rnacentral:lncRNA from 1 species
UGGUCAAAUGCUCCUGAGUUUAAUUCCCAGUACCAAAAAAAAAAAAAAAAAUACACUUGAGAUUUAAUCUCACUUCAGUCAGAAUGGCAAUGAUCUGGAAAAAAUGCAACAAUAAAUAUUGGCAAGGAUGUGGGGAAAAAUAUACACCCCUACAUUGCUGGUGGGACUGAAAAUUGGUGCAAUUACUCUGGAAAUCUGUAUGGAGACUCCUCAAAAAACUAAAUUUGGAACCACCAUUUUUCCCAGUUAUACCACUCUUCAGUAUAUAUUCAAAGCAGUAAAAAUCAUCAUACUCCAGUGAUACUACCACAUCAAUAUUUAUAGAAGCUCAAUUCACAAUAGCUAAAUUAUGGAACCAACCUAGGUGCCCUUCAACAGAUGAAUGCAUAAAGAAAAUAUGCUACAUGUAAAUAAUAGUAUAUUAUUCAGGCAUAAAGAAGAAUGGAAUUAUGACAUUUGCCAGUAAAUGAAUGGAACUGGAGACUAUCAUGAUAAGUGAAAUAAGCCAAUCUCAAAAAACCAAAGAGAGAAAGUUCUCUCUGAUAUGUAGAUGCUAACCCAUAUUAAGCAGGGGAGGGAAGAAUAGAAUUUCACUGGAUUAGACAAAGGGGAAUGAAGGGAAGGGAUGAGGGAUGGGAAUAAGAAAGACAGUAGAAUGAAUCAGACAUAACUUUCCUAUGUUCUUAUUUGCCACCAAAACAUACAUGAGAACCAAUGGUACAGAAUAGAAGGAUAACUCCACAUUAUGUACAAUCAAAAAAACCAGGAAGCUAUGUUCCAUGUAUAUAUGAUAUGUCAAAAUAUAUUCUACUGUCAUGUGUAACUAAAAAAUAAAAAUAAUUAAAAAUAAUUAAGUGAGAAAAAAUAUAAAAGAGAUAUAAAUUAAGGAAUAUUCAGUUUGGAAGUUACCUGCAUAGAUAUUAAUAAAAUUAUAAGAGUUUGGAACAUUCAAAUUAUUUUAGAAAAGAAUGAAUAAAAUCCUAAAUAUUAUGUUAUUCUUGAUGUGAUUAUAAAUGAAAUUGUCAUUGCUGGUAUAUAGAAAGAGAACUGAUUUUUGUGUGUGUUACUUACAAUUUUGCCAAAUUUUUAUUUGUUAUUUUUUUAAUCUGGUGUGUGUGUGUGUGUGUGUGUGUGUGUGUGUGUAAAUGUGUGUCUGUCCAGAUUUGUUGAGAUUUUUUACCCUUAACAUUAAUUCAUUCGUAAAUUUUCUUCUUCCUUUUGAAGUUUAGAAUCUUUUCUUUCUUUUUCCUCUACUGUUUCUCUUUCUUUUGCUAAUUUUUCUGGAUAGAACUUAAAAUACUGUAAUGAAUAGAAGAGGAGGCAGAAGUGUGCACCCUUAACUUGCUCCUUCAGUACACACAAGUGAUUUUUCUGUUUCCUGAAUGUCCUGGUAUGUCUUGAUUUGAGAGUAGGCCCUUUCUGGGUUCCUACUCAAUUUCCUGUUUUGUGUACCUCUCAUUUUGCUUAUGCUCUUUUUCUGCUUCAUAUGCUAGUUACAAUCAUGUUGAAUGAUCUCUUCCCCUUUUUCUUUUCUCUUCCCACACUUCCACUGAUUCUUUCUGUUUUUCCAAUUAAGAAACACCAAAAUUAGUUCUAUGUGUUAUCCUCUCUGCACAGAAUUAAAAUAGGUCAUUAGUAUUCUAUUUGGAGGAGUCAGAAACAAGAUAUUGUAGUUUCAAACUCCUUUCUUAAUUCAGAUUAUUGUUCAAACUGAGGAGAGGAUUGAAAUAAAGUGUCAUUUCAGCAACUUUAGAUAUCUAAAUAUUACUUGUUCUGAAGAUACACUUAGAAAAUCCAUCUUAAUAGAAAUGCUCUUUCUGAAGCUUUUCCACAGAUGACCACAUUUUUAAGAUCAAGAAGAAAAAAAAAAUUCUACAUUCCAUGUCCAAAUGUUAACAUUAAGACAGGUCUCCUUGAUCUGAAUCUCAGGGUGAUGCUGAGAAGAAUCACUCCAGGAUACUUCAGUGCAGUAUAAAAUUUAUGGACCACUGGUAGAUAUGCAGUCCACAAAAUGAAAUGGUUUCUUAAGUUCUUUUAAACAAUUUAUAUGCAAUAUUUUUAAUAAUAAAGGUUUUGACAUUUGUUCAAUAUUUUCAGCAAUACACUCAAUCUUCU